UAGUUUCUCAUUUUAUAUUUUUAUGGACAUUUUUACUUGUUAGUUGUAUUAGUCCAUUCUCUUUUAUAAAGAACUUCCUGAGACUGGGUAAUUUAUAAAGGAAAGAGGUUUAAUUGACUCACAGUUCUGUAUUGCUUUGGAGACCUCAGGAAACUUACAGUCAUGGCAGAAGACAAAGGAUAAGCAGUCACCUUCUUCACAGGGCAGCAGAACAGAGUGAAUCCAAGCAGGGGAAACUCCAGAUGCUUAUAAAACCAUCAGAUCUCAUGAGACUCACUCAUUAUCAUGAGAACAGCAUGGGGGAGACCGCCCCCAAGAUUCCGUUACUUCCACCUGGCCCUGCCCUUGACACAUUUGGAUCAUGGAGAUUGCAAUUCAAGGCUUAGGUAUCUCGAGAAGGGAAGUGGCCACAGUGUCACCAGUCUCCAGAAUGAAUUAUGCAGCAGGACACAUCAUCGAUAACCAGAUAGAACACUCCCUCAAUAUUUAAAGGGCAAUGGCAAUGAUGGAAAGAAGGAAACUGAGAUGAUUCCAGUUCUGUGGGAUCACUGGAUUCAAGCAACAUUGAGAAAUAAUUUUUCUGCUCAAUCCUUACCAAGCAAAAAUAAUCAUCAGGGAGAAAAAGCAGCAUUAUCUCUCCCAGGGAGAGUAUGACAUAAGAUGUUGCCACUAUUGUCUCUGCAGCUCAGGUUUCU
rnacentral:lncRNA from 1 species